rnacentral:rRNA from 1 species
AGGACGAACGCUGGCGGCGUGCCUAACACAUGCAAGUCGAGCGGGGACAUGCGACGGACCUGAAGAUUCGGUUGGAAGGAAAGAUGUAUUGUUCUAGCGGCGGACGGGUGAGUAACGCGUGAGCAACCUGUCCCUACAGGGGGAUAACACAGCGAAAGUUGUACUAAUACCGCAUGAGACCACAGUGAGACAUCUCACAGGGGUCAAAGGAGCAAUCCGGGUAAGGGGUGGGCUCGCGUCCGAUUAGAUAGUUGGUGAGGUAACGGCCCACCAAGUCGACGAUCGGUAGCCGACCUGAGAGGGUGAUCGGCCACAUUGGGACUGAGACACGGCCCAAACUCCUACGGGAGGCAGCAGUGGGGAAUAUUGGGCAAUGGGGGAAACCCUGAACCCCAGCAACGCCGCGUGAGGGAAGAAGUAUUUCGGUAUGUAAAGUUCUAUCAGCAGGGAAGAAAAAUGACGGUACCUGACUAAGAAGCUCCGGCUAAAUACGUGCCAGCAGCCGC